rnacentral:rRNA from 1 species
CCUACGGGAUGCAGCAGUGAGGAAUAUUGGUCAAUGGACGAGAGUCUGAACCAGCCAAGUAGCGUGAAGGAUGACUGCCCUAUGGGUUGUAAACUUCUUUUAUAUGGGAAUAAAAUGUUCCACGUGUGGGAUUUUGUAUGUACCAUAUGAAUAAGGAUCGGCUAACUCCGUGCCAGCAGCCGCGGUAAUACGGAGGAUCCGAGCGUUAUCCGGAUUUAUUGGGUUUAAAGGGAGCGUAGGUGGAUUGUUAAGUCAGUUGUGAAAGUUUGCGGCUCAACCGUAAAAUUGCAGUUGAAACUGGCAGUCUUGAGUACAGUAGAGGUGGGCGGAAUUCGUGGUGUAGCGGUGAAAUGCUUAGAUAGCACGAAGAACUCCGAUUGCGAAGGCAGUUCACUGGACUGCAACUGACACUGAGGCUCGAAAGUGUGGGUAUCAAACAGGAUGAGAUACCCCGGUAGUC